AUAAAUUUGAAUAAAACCCCCCCGGGAAGGGGAGGGAGGGGGGAGGGGGGGGAGGGGGCGGUUGGGGUGUCUCAGCCCCCCCGGCCCCCCGGCCCCGCGUUGCUCCGGCCCCGGGCCCCGGCCGCCUCUCUCAUCCCUCCUCAGCUCCUUCCUCCUUCCUCCUCUCCACCCCCUCCCUCCCUCCCUCCUUCCCUCCUCCUCCUUCCCUCCCUCCCCUCCCCUCUCCUCUCCUCUCCUCUCCUCUCUCCUUCUCCCAGGGCAACCCGCCCCCCCCCCCCACCUCCCGCUCCGCUCCUUCCCCCUCCCCUCCGCCGCCCCUCCCACCCGGCCGCGGGGCGCGCGGGGCACGACGGGACUCGUAGUCUUUCCCCCCCGCCCGCCGCCGGGCCGGGCAAUGGAAGCCCCCGGCCGCUAGGACUACAAACAAGAUGGCGGCGGGCGGAGGGCUGGGCGGCCGCCCCGGGGACCCGGGACGACGGGAGUUGUGGUCCGCCCCGGCCGCCGCGCCCCAUGGGGACACGCGGGCCGCGCGGGGGCGGGGAACUACGGACAAGAUGGCCUCCCUCGUCCGGGCCGUCGCCCCCGCUUCCCCACAACCCCCCGCGCGGCCGAGGCCUGCCGGGAGUCGUAGUCCGCCGGGCCCCUCCGCCCGCCGGCCUCCCCAUCGGGAACAAUGGACGGGGGAGGAGGGACGGAAACUACAAGCAAGAUGGCGGGAGCGGGCGGGCUCCGCCCGUCGCGCAGGGAACCACGGGAACGAUAGAAAAAAAAGUCGAGCAAUAUGAUUCCUGCCCACAAAGAGCUCAGUGUCUGGAACAGCAUCUUCGAAAGGAGAAGAUCAGUCAGUGCUACUUUUUGAGUGCUUACCUACUAAGCACUCGGAAGAACACAGUAUAACAGAAUUGGUCGACAUGUCCCGUGCCCAUUCCGAGCUUACGGUUUAAAAGAUGUCUGUAUAAAUAGAUGCCUGUGUUCAUCUGCUUCUACCGCGUAUAGAAGCAGCAUGGUCUAGUGGAUAGAGCCCGGGCCCGGGAGUCAGAGGUUGUGGGUUCUAAUCACCGCUCUGCCACUUGUCUGCUGUGUGACCUUGGACAGGUCACUUCACUUCUCUUUGCCUCAGUUCCCUCAUCUGUAAAAUGGGGGUUGAGACUGUGAGCUCCACAUGGGACAGGGACUGUGUCCAACCUCAUUAGCUUGUAUCUACCCCAGGGCUGAGUACAGUGCUUGGCACACAAUAAGCGCUUAAAUACUAUUUAAGACAAAAAAGAGCAUCGGGCACAGUUCUCGAAGCCGGCUCUGAGGUACAAAGUGGAUACCUAAUUCUGGAAACUUCCACAGAUACUCGUGGUCGGCCCGAUGGGCAGGGAACAUAUCUGCCAAUUCUGUUGUAUUGCACUCCUCCAAGCCCUUAAUAGAGUGGUUCGCAAACAGCAAGCACUUAAUAAAUACCACUGAUUGCUUCUAUUGGCUAUUUUCUUAUGGUAUUAAGCUCUUACUAUGUGUCAUGCAAUGUUCUAAGCACUGGGGUAGAUACACGUUUAUCAGGUUGGACACAGUCCCUGUCCCACGUGGAGCUCAGAGUCUAAAAUAGGAAGGAGUAAAAUUUAAUCCCCAUUUUACAGUUGAAGAAACUGAAUCACAGAGAAGUGAAGUGACUUCCUCAACGUCACACAGUAAGUGAUUGGCAGAGCUGGGAUUAGAACCCAGGUUCUCUGAUUCCCAGGCCUGGGCUCUUUCCACUAGGUAAUGUUGCUUCCCAGAGCUCUUUCAAGCUGGGGUGUUCACAAGUGCUGGGUUCCAUUUCCUUGUUGUACUGUCCUCUCCUAAAUGCUUAGUACAGUGCCCUGCACACAGUAGGCGUUCAAUAAAUACCAUUGACUGACUGACUGAUUUCCCUUCCUUUGUAAUAUUCCCCGCUCGUUUGUGCUACGCUGAGAAGGGGCUUCCGACGGGUGGGCAGGGACUCGCAUUUGUUCGGGGGUAAACUCAUCUCGGAUUGGACUGAGUUACGGCAGCCGGGGGAUACUUUUUUUUAAUGUAUUUUUUAAAUUUUCCGUCCCCUUCAAUUCACAUAUCUACCCUGUUUUCUCUUCACUUUCCUACUUUCUAGCCAGUUCCUCCCACCAAAUUUCCUCCCUCCUCUUUCAGCCUUCUUCACCUUGCAGGAAGCUGGGUGGGGUGGCGGGGCUAAAGUCUUGACGUUUCGACCUUUGACUUCUCUGUCUCAUUUUGUUUCCCACUCCGCAAUGCACAACGAAGCCCUGCUGACUUGUCCUCUCCAUUGUUUCUUCGGGCUGUUUAUUCCUCUCCACUCUCACCUAAUAAAUAAUUAUGGUAUUUAUUAAAUGCUUACUCUGUCCCACCGUCUGCUAGGGUGGGUUCAAGAUAAGCAGAAUGGACAGAGUUCCUGCCCCACAUCAAUCAACCAGUGGUAUUUAUUUAGUACUUACUGUAUGCAAAGCACCAUACUGAGCGCUUGGGGGAGUAAUAAUAACGACUGGGGUGUUUCUUCAGUGCUUACUAUGUGCCAGGCACUAUACUGAGCUCUGGGUAAACACAAGCCUCUCUUGUUGGACAUAUCCCUGGUCCAGGUGGGGCUCGCAGUCUUAAUUCCCAUUUUAUAGAUGAGGUAGCUGAGGCGCAGAAAAGUAAAGUGACUUGCCCAGGGUCACAAGGCAGACAAGAGGCAGAACCGGGGUUAGAACCCAGGUCCUUCUGACUCCCAGGACCCGUGUUCUGUCCUCUAGGCCACAUUCAACAGUUGGUAGACCCUUCCCUGCCCACGAGGAGGUUACAGUCUGGAGGGGGAGACCGACAUUAAUAUAAAUGAAUAAUUAGGAGGUCUACAAUCUCAUAAGGACGGAGAGGAAGUAUUUUCUCUCCAUUUUACAGAUGAGGUAGCUGAAACACAGA
rnacentral:lncRNA from 1 species